rnacentral:lncRNA from 1 species
UAACGGAGAUGAAUAGCUUCACGACGACGACGAGUCCAAUGGCUCGAGCCCUCGUGCAUCUUCACUCUAAUUCACCGUUACACUUACGUUCAGGGCAGCCACCGUCAGGAGUAUGUUUAAUACCGCACUCGCCGUCGUCUCGCAGGACUCCACGACUCGUCUGUAUGGCCGUAAGUGGUUGUAGAUUCUAGGUUCGUGACUUUACGAUAUAGCUUAUGAUUUUGAUUUUU